rnacentral:rRNA from 1 species
UACGUAGGGCGCAAGCGUUGUCCGGAAUUAUUGGGCGUAAAGGGCGCGUAGGCGGCACGGCAAGUCAGGAGUGAAAGCCCUGGGCUCAACCCGGGAACUGCUUUUGAAACUGCCGAGCUAGAGUGCGGAAGGGGCAACUGGAAUUCCCAGUGUAGCGGUGAAAUGCGUAGAUAUUGGGAAGAACACCUGAGGCGAAGGCGGGUUGCUGGGCCGACACUGACGCUGAGGCGCGAAAGCCAGGGGAGCGAACAGG